UUGCACGCUGGCGGCAGGCCUAACACCUGCAAGUCGAGCGGAUGAAGGGAGCUUGCUCCUGGAUUCAGCGGCGGACGGGUGAGUAAUGCCUAGGAAUCUGCCUGGUAGUGGGGGAUAACGUCCGGAAACGGGCGCUAACACCGCAUACGUCCUGAGGGAGAAAGUGGGGGAUCUUCGGACCUCACGCUAUCAGAUGAGCCUAGGUCGGAUUAGCUAGUUGGUGGGGUAAAGGCCUACCAAGGCGACGAUCCGUAACUGGUCUGAGAGGAUGAUCAGUCACACUGGAACUGAGACACGGUCCAGACUCCUACGGGAGGCAGCAGUGGGGAAUAUUGGACAAUGGGCGAAAGCCUGAUCCAGCCAUGCCGCGUGUGUGAAGAAGGUCUUCGGAUUGUAAAGCACUUUAAGUUGGGAGGAAGGGCAGUAAGUUAAUACCUUGCUGUUUUGACGUUACCAACAGAAUAAGCACCGGCUAACUUCGUG
rnacentral:rRNA from 1 species